GAUGAACGCUAGCGACAGGCCUAACACAUGCAAGUCGAGGGGCAGCACAGUGUAGCAAUACAUAGGUGGCGACCGGCGCACGGGUGAGUAACACGUAUGCAACCUGCCUUCAACAAGGGGGAUAACCCGUUGAAAGACGGACUAAUACCCUAUAACACAGGGGUCCCGCAUGGGAAUAUUUGUUAAAGGACAACCGGUUGAAGAUGGGCAUGCGUUCCAUUAGCUAGUUGGCGGGGUAACGGCCCACCAAGGCAACGAUCAUUAGGGGUUCUGAGAGGAAGGUCCCCCACACUGGUACUGAGACACGGACCAGACUCCUACGGGAGGCAGCAGUGAGGAAUAUUGGUCAAUGGGCGAGAGCCUGAACCAGCCAAGUCGCGUGCAGGAAGAAUGUCCUAUGGAUUGUAAACUGCUUUUGCAGGGGAAUAAAGUGAGCCACGUGUGGUUUUUUGUAUGUACUCUGCGAAUAAGGAUCGGCUAACUCCGUGCCAGCAG
rnacentral:rRNA from 1 species